GACGUAGGGGGCCAGCGUUGCUCGGAAUUACUGGGUGUAAAGGGUUCGUAGGCGGUGCUCCAAGUCUGUUGUGAAAUCUCCCGGCUUAACUGGGAGGGUGCAGCGGAUACUAGAGUGCUAGAGGGUGGGAGAGGAAAGCGGAAUUCCUGGUGUAGCGGUGAAAUGCGUAGAUAUCAGGAGGAACACCUGCGGUGUAGACAGCUUUCUGGACCGCCUCUGACGCUGAGACACGAAAGCGUGGGUAGCAAACAGG
rnacentral:rRNA from 1 species